rnacentral:rRNA from 1 species
GGCCGCGGGAAUUCGAUUGGAUCGCCCUUAGAGUUUGAUCAUGGCUCAGAUUGAACGCUGGCGGCAGGCCUAACACAUGCAAGUCGAGCGGAUGAAGGGAGCUUGCUCUCUGAUUCAGCGGCGGACGGGUGAGUAAUGCCUAGGAAUCUGCCUAUUAGUGGGGGACAACGUUUCGAAAGGAACGCUAAUACCGCAUACGUCCUACGGGAGAAAGCAGGGGACCCUCGGGCCUUGCGCUAAUAGAUGAGCCUAGGUCGGAUUAGCUAGUUGGUGAGGUAAAGGCUCACCAAGGCAACGAUCCGUAACUGGUCUGAGAGGAUGAUCAGUCACACUGGAACUGAGACACGGUCCAGACUCCUACGGGAGGCAGCAGUGGGGAAUAUUGGACAAUGGGCGAAAGCCUGAUCCAGCCAUGCCGCGUGUGUGAAGAAGGUCUUCGGAUUGUAAAGCACUUUAAGUUGGGAGGAAGGGCAGUAAGUUAAUACCUUGCUGUUUUGACGUUACCGACAGAAUAAGCACCGGCUAACUUCGUGCCAGCAGCCGCGGUAAUACGAAGGGUGCAAGCGUUAAUCGGAAUUACUGGGCGUAAAGCGCGCGUAGGUGGUUCGUUAAGUUGGAUGUGAAAGCCCCGGGCUCAACCUGGGAACUGCAUCCAAAACUGGCGAGCUAGAGUAUGGCAGAGGGUGGUGGAAUUUCCUGUGUAGCGGUGAAAUGCGUAGAUAUAGGAAGGAACACCAGUGGCGAAGGCGACCACCUGGGCUAAUACU